rnacentral:rRNA from 1 species
UACAGAGGGUGCGAGCGUUAAUCGGAUUUACUGGGCGUAAAGCGUGCGUAGGCGGCUAAUUAAGUCGGAUGUGAAAUCCCCGAGCUCAACUUGGGAAUUGCAUUCGAUACUGGUUAGCUAGAGUAUUGGGAGAGGAUGGUAGAAUUCCAGGUGUAGCGGUGAAAUGCGUAGAGAUCUGGAGGAAUACCGAUGGCGAAGGCAGCCAUCUGGCCUAAUACUGACGCUGAGGUACGAAAGCAUGGGGAGCAAACAGG